rnacentral:rRNA from 1 species
CCUACGGGCGGCAGCAGUGGGGAAUAUUGCACAAUGGGGGAAACCCUGAUCCAGCGACGCCGCGUGGGCGAAGAAGUAUUUCGGUGUGUAAAGCCCUAUCAGCAGGGAAGAAGAAAUGACGGUACCUGAGUAAGAGGCACCGGCUAAAUACGAGCCAGCAGCCGCGGUAAUACGUAGGGGGCAGGCGUUAUCCGGAUUUACUGGGUGUAAAGGGGGCGCAGACGGCAGCGCAAGCCAGUAGUGAAAGCCCGGGGCCCAACCCCGGGACUGCGCUUGGAACUGCGCGGCUGGAGUGCAGGAGAGGUAGGCGGAAUUCCUGGUGUAGCGGUGAAAUGCGUAGAUAUCAGGAGGAACACCGGUGGCGAAGGCGGCCUGCUGGACUGCGACUGACGUUGAGGCCCGAAAGCGUGGGGAGCAAACAGGAUUAGAUACCCUAGUAGUC